UCUGGUCCAGAUCCUCCGCUCCUCCUCAGCUCAACACACACAUCCAUUGUACACAAACGGGGCAGGCGGCUCAUGCAUACACACGCACUCACACACAUACAGAUACAUCCACCGCCACACACACAUCUACGCACACACGCUCAGCAUCGAUCGUGGCUCCUUUAAGAAAGCCUAAGCCAGAAUUAUCACCCCACCUCCUCUUGAUCUCCUCUUGACGCUUUUGCAUAAGAAAAUCAAGCCGGGAGCCGAGAGUGAUCAAAGAAAACGAGAGGAGAGCUGCUUCAUUUUUUAACUCUGAUUGUGACCAUUAACGUUUAGGUGGUGCCGAGCCCGUGGAGACGCGCGUCGGACCAUCAUUCAUCCGGUACUUUUGACAAGCCCUCGUGUUUUGACUGACAGGCGGAGUGGCAAAAAGCCAUGCGAGUCGCCACUUUUGUUUGAGGGGCUGUUUUAUUUUCAUCCUGGUUUUGGGAAAGGAGCCUGGCGCCGCUGCCCCGAGGAGAGGACAGCCGAGGACCUAUUCGCCGCGCCUGGGCUUAAACUUGCGCAGAGAGCGGGGGCUGGCUACACCGUUCCGUGGAAAGAGACAAGGCGUACAGGAUUUUGGCUGAAACAUAUUCCUGUUUAUUUGGAUUUUCUUUCUUCAUUUCGUCUCCACCCUGGCCUCAGAGGGGAUUUAUCUAAAGUGAAAGGACGACCAGGGAGUCAGGAGGGUUAUGGCGCAACGGUACGAAGACUUGCCCCACUACGGGAUGGACGGGGUGGGCAUCCCGACCACCAUGUACGGGGACCCGCACGGCGCCCGGUCCAUGCAGGCGGUGCACCUCAACCACGGGCCCCAGCUGCACUCGCACCAGUACCCGCACACCGCCCACACCAACACCAUGCCUCCCAGCAUGGGCUCCUCCGUCAACGACGCUCUCAAGAGAGAUAAAGACGCGAUAUACGGGCACCCCCUGUUCCCCUUGCUUGCACUGAUUUUUGAGAAAUGUGAAUUAGCGACGUGCACCCCCAGAGAGCCCGGGGUGGCGGGAGGAGACGUCUGUUCAUCGGAAUCUUUCAAUGAAGACAUAGCAGUGUUUGCAAAACAGAUUCGGGCAGAAAAGCCUUUAUUUUCAUCGAAUCCAGAAUUGGAUAAUUUGAUGAUUCAAGCCAUUCAAGUUUUACGAUUUCAUCUUCUGGAGCUGGAGAAGGUGCACGAGCUGUGUGAUAAUUUCUGUCACCGGUACAUCAGCUGCUUGAAAGGCAAAAUGCCCAUCGACCUGGUCAUAGACGACAGAGAGGGGGGCUCCAAAUCAGACAGCGAGGAGAUCACGAGAUCAUCGGUGGCCCUUGAUCAGACGUCCUGGAACAGAGAUCACGAUGACACAGCAUCCACGCGCUCUGGGGGAACCCCAGGCCCAUCCAGUGGUGGACACACAUCACACAGCGGUGACAACAGCAGCGAACAGGGUGAUGGCCUGGACAACAGCGUAGCCUCGCCGAGCACGGGGGACGACGAUGACCCGGAUAAAGAAAAGAAACGCAACAAGAAGAGAGGGAUCUUCCCUAAGGUGGCCACCAAUAUCAUGAGAGCAUGGCUCUUCCAGCACCUAACACAUCCCUACCCGUCAGAAGAACAGAAGAAACAGCUGGCACAAGACACAGGCCUCACCAUCCUACAAGUGAACAACUGGUUCAUUAAUGCCAGGAGGAGAAUAGUGCAACCCAUGAUCGACCAGUCAAACCGUGCAGGCAAGUCUCCUCUAGUUACUGUAUUCAAGUCUCGCAGGCGAAAGCCGUCCACACUCCAUGCACCCGGAGGCCCCUUGGCUGGUAAAUACAGGACUGAUGCCCCUCAUUCUGGAAUGUCCAAAUCCUGCAGGGGGUUUCCCCAUCUGUGUCCUUAAAACUGACCACUAAAAUAAAAAACCAAAGUGUUAAAACAUUAACAUCAACCAUUAAUCAACUUUGAUGUGGGGUGAGAAACUAUUUAUUAAUUAUGAAAAAUAAUAAUAUGGCUGAAAUUGAGUUAAUGAUGAGUGGCUUUGUUUAUUCUAGUCUGUAAACAAAACUAGCUGUGUUCUCAGUAAAGUUUGCUUUUAACUCCUUCCUCUCUUUCUUGAGCCAGUCAAGCAAAGAAAAAAAAUCCCCUCCCCCUGGCUCAAACCAAAACAUAAAGUGAGCGACACCCAUUUCUUUUUUUGGGUGACCGUUGUUUGGCUUCUUGGCUCCAGACCUGUUUUUACCCCCCUUACUUCUGAACCCCCCGCCCCCUCCCCCUCCUCAACCCUAUUUGUGGCUGUUUCAGUGAGCAAGGGGAGUGAGGGGAGCGAGUAAGCGGUCCCCCUGGUGCAUGGCUUGGUUUGGACUGCUGUAAACUUUAUUACCUGUAAUAGGGGUCAAAGGUCAGGGUGGCAUUAGGGGCGCAGUAAAGUUCAAAGGCAUUCAGUGGGGCUGAGUUCUUGCUUUUGCUUGACUGACCCCCAAACAGCCUGAAUCGAAGGUAAGUGGAUUUCUAUGAGCGCAGAACAAUGGAGGGCAGCGAAAAAUAAGAAGUCUAUCAGGUUUCACUUAGCCUCGCUGCUCAGUUAAAGGCAGUAUUUAUUAGAUAAAGCAUUUAGGUAUGGGAGCACAUUCUGAGACCACUUAGUAAGAAUGAGCUGACCUUUUCAGAGCGCUGACCUGGUGCUCAUUUUGUUCUUUUGAUCAUGUUUUUGAUCAUGCAUUUUCAGGAGCAGAACUAAUGUUAAAAGUGUAACAAUGUUAGGUGUGUUAGUGUCAUUUUCAUGAGUAUCAAAGGUGCCAGAGAUUGGUUUUAAACUUUUAUUUUGCAUUUGAAUAAAACAGCAAUGAUGACGUGACAGCCUCGAAAGGAGAGGAAACACUUUAUGUUAAGUUGUGACAUAAAACUAACCCCUAGUUUAUCACCUUUUAUUCAAACAUACAGCCUAAAAUACUUCACAUACCUUUUUCAAGACUCAGUUCAAAACAGUAUAAUCAAUAAGAUAUAACAAAUUGAUAAAUUGUUCAACAGUUAAAUAAGACAAAAUAAAGACCGGAGAUGGAGCUACUGUAAGAACAAUAAUGUAAACUUGAAAAGUUAGGUCCUUGGUUUCCUUUGAAACCACAGAGGGCUUGUCAUUUUGAUGAAAAAAACUUUUUUCCACUUAAAUACAGAGUUCAUGCAAUCUAGGUUUUCGCCCAGUUUCCAAACAGAUAUCUUUGUGUGACUUAGGUGCACCAUCGUGUGUGUUGUCCAAUCCCUAUUAGAGCGUUUAGACGUAUUAAAGUCAACCCGGGGCUUACAGUGCCGAGCCGGCUGCACAGACACGGAGCGCAGUGACGUUGAAAGAACAACGGCGGCUCCCUGUGCGUGCACCGGCCAACAGAUGAUCCCGCUUCGGCCACUGAGCCUUAAUUAAAAGCACUAAUUGACCACUCCGUCCCCUCCCUCCCCCCUCUGUCUCCUCCCUCCAUCCACAGUAAGUCAAGGAGCUCCCUACAAUCCAGAUGGCCAGCCGAUGGGGGGCUUCGUCAUGGACGGUCAGCAGCACAUGGGAAUCAGACCACCUGGACCCAUGGGUGGCAUGGGCAUGAACAUGGGCAUGGAAGGUCAGUGGCACUACAUGUAGCCCCGCCCCUGUCCAACCAAUCGCAACACAAAGGAUGAUAACUGGAGAGCAAACCAGAGGAUCAUGGGUCUCACGGAGGCCUAUACGGCAUGGGAAUGGGCUCCUUGACUUCAUGAUGACAACAGUAACCCCUCUGCCCAACCGCCUACAAGACCCAACAACAUUUUAUUUGGCUGAUAUCUGCAACUUGGAAGCCUUCCAUGACUGCGUACUUGACUUUUCUAUGUAUCCAGUGAUGCACAGAAGAUCCAACCUCAUCCAAUGACCCCAUAUCCUGACAGACCCGUUUCUUCUCUGGUGGGCACUAGACUCUGCCCCCUUGCCUCUGCCUACAAGGAUUCACAUGGAUUCCUCCAUGGAAAGUGAUUGCGAUUGCGAGCAUUGAUGACACAAGAGACACACCGUGUCCUUUGCCUGUACCAUCGGUGAAUGCAGCACCGGGUGACAUAUUCUAGACUCUUUGACAAAUAAGAGACUUCCUGUGAAGAGCACUUCACUCUUUGGGAUGAUGGAAAUGGACCAAGGAGAAGCCAAUGUCUGUAUCUGACAGGACACUCACAAAGCAAAAGAGGUGCCCUCUAAAAAAGUAUAGUGGAUUGAAACAUGGAAGGAGGGAAAGCAAGAGAAAAGAAAUUAAAAGUUUAACUAUAUCAACUCCUGGUUUGGAAAGCGAGUGGAGAAAGAAAAUAUACUGUAUACUGUUGUAAAAUUACGCUGGACUCUCACAAGAACUGGGAAUUUAAGUAUUGUAAAUGCUAUUGUAUUGUUCUGCAUAUUAUGUUGUUUCUAAUAGAUUUUUUAAAAAAAGGAUGUGAACUUUUUUCUCUUUGUUUUCUCAUUUCUUUCCACACUAUGUGUGUGCAGUCUCUCCAUCAGAUUUGACCCCCUGCUCCCUCCCUACAUUGAAUCACGAUGCAUUUUUUAAAAGUAAAAAAAGUGAAUAAACUGACAAUUCGAUCAGUCUGUCGCAGACCUUUAUUUGGAUGGUAGGAGUGUGACAGCAAGACAUAUUCCCUUUUAUUUUACAUAUAGAGUCCAUCCACGUACAAACAGGGUGCAGCUGUUACUACUGACAUGUCUGCACCUUGUACCCCAAUUCUGGUGAUUUUGUUUUAUCACCAUUUCAUAUCGGUUGAAUGUGUUCAUCUUUUGGGUUGGAUGGUUUUUAUUGGUAGAAAAAAAAACAUGAAACUCUCUUUAAACUCGUCGGAUUAACUCCAAACACAAUAAAUCAAGCUUUACACUGUGUCUGAAAAGCUAACAUUUUGGAUGUCAAGGUGUUUUUUUAUUUGUAACUCAACUGUUAUAUUUCACAAUUACCCAUUUGAUCACGAGGGCUGACAUAUAAUGUAGGUCAAGAUUGCUAACAUGAAAAACAGAUUUUCAAACAUAAUACAGAGCUUCAUAAAAGAAACCAAAAAUCAUCAGAGAACGGAAACGACAGAAGUGUGUCCCACAAACAUGUUGUUUCCUGUUUUCUCCAUGUGUGUCUGUGAGGGCCUCUGAAAGUCUAUCUAAGUGUCCUAUUGAUGUGUUUCAUGUCACAGGGCAGAGCGCAUGCAUGGCCGAUGGAUUCUCUUCCCCUUGGUGUUUGGUGGAGCUUGUUGCUGAAAGAGACAGAGGCAAAAGGAGAACACCGCUAAUACCCCACUCCGUUCAUUUUUUAUUUACCCCGAUGAUGUAAUGCUAAUCAACAGACAGGAGAGAAUGUAAAAGUGUUUGUGUGUGUGUGUGUGUGUGUGUGUGUGUGUGUGUGUGUGUGUGUGUGUGUGUGUGUGUGUGCGCGCGCGCACGCGCGCGCGGGAGACAGGGAGGGGGAAUGACCGUAUAUGUGUGUGUGCAUAAGUGCUUGAGUGGGUUAUCAAUGCAUCCAUUAUCCAUAGCUUCAAACAUGUAUGUAUUACGCACAUCUUUAAGAUUCCUUUGAAGACAAGUCAUGUUUCUUAUGCUUUUACUUUGAAGGGUAUAUAUGUACAUCUGUGUUGUAAAUAAAUACUUUUUGUUCAAAUAACA